AAAAGGUUAUUUAGAUCUGAAAAGUUCUUCCCUUAGAUCAGAUCAUUAGCUUCUCAAAAACCAACAAAAAAUAUAACACAAAACUCCAAAACACAGUCCAUCGAAAUUUUUAGGUUAAUUUCGAGUUUAGUGGUUGAUUUGCAACUUCUAACUUAUGGUCUGAUUGCUGAGGUUUUCUGAAGUUUCCUGUGUUAAUUUUGAGUGUGUUUGGGUUCAAUCAAGGUUGUUCUGGGUAUUUUAUUGGUGUUGUACCUCUGUCACUCGUUCCUGGGUUUUGAUAACAUUAUUUUGGGUUUUUAACUGUCCUCUUGCUGUUGUGACCUGCCGUUUGACACUGCUAUCUACUCAAUCUACUGUUGACUCCUCUUUCUUCUUAUUGUGUUUCAAUUUCCA
rnacentral:lncRNA from 1 species